UACGGAGGAUGCAAGCGUUAUCCGGAUUGAUUGGGCGUAAAGCGUCCGCAGGUGGCUAUGUAAGUCUGCUGUUAAAGAGUGAGGCUCAACCUCAGAAGAGCAGUGGAAACUACAUGGCUAGAGUGCGUUCGGGGCAGAGGGAAUUCCUGGUGUAGCGGUGAAAUGCGUAGAGAUCAGGAAGAACACCAGUGGCGAAGGCGCUCUGCUAGGCCGUAACUGACACUGAGGGACGAAAGCUAGGGGAGCGAAUGGG
rnacentral:rRNA from 1 species